rnacentral:lncRNA from 1 species
GAAAACAGUGGUUUUAAAAUCACAGCAUCUGUGCACAGGGCUCCCUUCCAAAGGCCCAGCCGGAGAGGGGAACCUGGGCUUUUUUGCCAAAUCUACUUUAUCAUUUUUUGCUUUUUGAUUAUUUAAAAUACAGAUACACACACUGAAAGGUUUUUUUCCCCGAAGCUGAAACCUGGUUGCAGCAGUGCCRAGGAUGAAGGAUUGUUUUGAACAGUGCUACAGCCACAGGAAAAAAUUCUCUCCCCUCCAGGAGAGAGCCAGUUGGAAAAGGGAACCAGAUGCAUCAGAUGAGCGGGAAGAAAAAACAAAACAACUGCAGCUCUCCCUCCGAGCCGUACAGCCAGUGACAGCUGGAGGAUCCGUCUAGACACCAGGACACGUCUCUUGCUGCUCUAACUGUGGAACCCUUGGAAGCUGUCACGUGUUGAUUGUGUAAAUGAAGCCUCUAAGAAAAGUCCAUUUGAAACCUCCCAGUGAGGUAGGAGUGUGCAACUCACCACAGCAUGUCCAAGCCAUCCAUCCAGCAACAACCGCUGGGCAACACUCAGCAGCUCUCAACAUCUAUAAAGUUCCCUCUGACAUCAUGGUGUGUGACCUUGGAGAUGCCUCAGCAGCACUGAGGCUUCAUAACUCCCUGUGA